UAUGUAAUGGUUUGGGGUUGGACCACAAUUCCUUGGUUGUAAUCGCAUGUGCAGGGAACUCCAUUUUCGCCUUGACGAUCAGAGGGGUAAGGCUUUUUACGCGCAGCUGUAUUUCGGAAAGUUGUAGUUUCAACGAUUUCAUUGAAGAUAUCAUGGCGAAUAAAUCAUGUAAAGUCAAACUCUAAAGUAAAAGUGAAAGUGAGUUUGUUUGAGGAAUCUUGGAAUCUUGGAGUGUUAUCCUUCAAACGAACUGAGGAGCUGUUUCUGCAAGGACAGGACGUACUUCUGGACGGUGAUAGCGACUCCGACUGGGAGCCCCCGGUGCCAAGCUGCCCUCUCUACCUCUGCCCCCAGUGGUGUUCAUAUGCCACAGUUCAUUACUGCAGGCAUGACUGUGCCUCAGAGCCAAAAGGGCACAGCAUGGAGGCGUCGUUGUGUUCUGUGUCGCAAUAAAUGCACCACUUGUUCAGUUUGCCUCUGCUUUACAUCAGAAAGAGACUGCUAUGGGACAUGGCACAGGCAGCAAAAUAUUAUGACGAGGACUUCCAAGGGGUGUACUGUUUUUAAAAAAAUGUUUUUUCUAAUAUUUUUUUAAAUAUUCAUUAAACAUUUUUGCGUGUGUGUGUUUGAUAUGUUGUAAAUAGUUAUUUGCACUGCUGUAUAUAGUUAUAGGUCAUUUCACCAAUUCGGCCAUUUGGGCAACUUGUGUGGGACACCUGGGUGACUUCAUGCUCAAUGUCAUAUAGCUCACCCAUUCCUGAAGUUAUCAGUCUGAAACUUUGCACACCUACAGUUGCCCUCUUGUGUUAUCCAUCAAAAUUAUCUCCAGCAUCCUAUCUGACUGUGUGGCUAUUCGAGUACAUGUGAAAGAUGAUACUACAACAAUAAAAAACACAAAACGAA